ACGUAAGGGGCAAGCGUUGUUCGGAAUUAUUGGGCGUAAAGGGUACGUAGGCGGUUGAGUAAGCCCGGCGUGAAAUCCUACAGCUUAACUGUAGGGCUGCGCUGGGAACUGCACAACUUGAGUCAUGGAAGGGAAGUUAGAAUUCCAGGUGUAGGGGUGAAAUCUGUAGAUAUCUGGAAGAAUACCGGUGGCGAAGGCGAACUUCUGGCCAAUGACUGACGCUGAGGUACGAAAGUGCGGGGAGCAAACAG
rnacentral:rRNA from 1 species